GGUUAAAUCUCACCCCUGCACCUUGAUGAUGUAUGUCCAAGGUGUUCUGGUGGGAUGUGAUCCU